rnacentral:sRNA from 1 species
CCAUGCGCUAAGAAUGUGGAAUCCGUUUGUUGCUUUCCAUAUUUAUUGUAUUUUUACUUUUUCGACUCUGUCACUAUACGAUCUGUUCCUUAGCUUUCCAUAGGCAGUUCAUAUGCCACUUAGAUUGCUAUAGCUGUAUCUUGUUUUUCAUUUCUUUGCUCCGUGAGUGUUCUUAAGCCUAUAUCAUGGAUAUAGAACUCUGAAGGCCUAUGCCUUCUUGUUACCUGUUUAUACUGUGAGGUGCUGUCCUCUUCUGCACUGUACAAAGGAUGCAGUGUUGAUACAUGCUAGAAGUAACCACAAAGUCACAACUGAAAUAUUGGCGAUUUGUGCUUUCAUUAUUGUUAUCACUUUUCUUCUUUAAAUAGUAUAGUACUG